CCAAUAGCGUAUAUUAAAGUUGUUGCAGUUAAAAAGCUCGUAGUUGAAUUUCGGGAUCAAUUUGUCGGUCGUGCCUCGGUACGUACUGGCAUUAUUGGUUUCUCCCUUCUGACGAACCACGAUGUCAUUAAUUUGGUGUCGCGGGAAAUCAGGACUGUUACUUUGAACAAAUUAGAGUGUUUAAAGCAAGCUCACGCUUGAAUACAUUAGCAUGGAAUAAUGAAAUAGGAUGUUUGAUUCUAUUUUGUUGGUUUCUAGGAUCGACGUAAUGAUUAAUAGGGAUAGUUGGGGGCAUUAGGAUUCAAUUGUCAGAGGUGAAAUUCUUGAAUUUAUUGAAGACUAACUACGGCGAAAGCAUUUGCCAAGGAUGUUUUCAUUAAUCAAGAACGAAAGUUAGGGGAUCGAAGACGAUCAGAUACCGUCGUAGUCUUAACCAUAAACUAUGCCGACUAGGGAUCGGAUGAUGUUAAUUUUUUAAUGACUCAUUCGGCGCCUUACG
rnacentral:misc_RNA from 1 species